rnacentral:rRNA from 1 species
GAUGAACGCUAGCGGGAGGCCUAACACAUGCAAGCCGAGCGGUAUUGUUUCUUCGGAAAUGAGAGAGCGGCGUACGGGUGCGGAACACGUGUGCAACCUGCCUUUAUCUGGGGGAUAGCCUUUCGAAAGGAAGAUUAAUACUCCAUAAUAUAUUGAACGGCAUCGUUUAAUAUUGAAAGCUCCGGCGGAUAGAGAUGGGCACGCGCAAGAUUAGCUAGUUGGUGAGGUAACGGCUCACCAAGGCGAUGAUCUUUAGGGGGCCUGAGAGGGUGAUCCCCCACACUGGUACUGAGACACGGACCAGACUCCUACGGGAGGCAGCAGUGAGGAAUAUUGGUCAAUGGGUGCAAGCCUGAACCAGCCAUCCCGCGUGAAGGACGACUGCCCUAUGGGUUGUAAACUUCUUUUGUAUAGGGAUAAACCUACCCUCGUGAGGGUAGCUGAAGGUACUAUACGAAUAAGCACCGGCUAACUCCGUGCCAGCAGCCGCGGUAAUACGGAGGGUGCAGGCGUUAUCCGGAUUUAUUGGGUUUAAAGGGUCCGUAGGCGGACUUAUAAGUCAGUGGUGAAAGCCUGUCGCUUAGCGAUAGAACUGCCAUUGAUACUGUAAGUCUUGAGUAUAUUUGAGGUAGCUGGAAUAAGUAGUGUAGCGGUGAAAUGCAUAGAUAUUACUUAGAACACCAAUUGCGAAGGCAGGUUACCAAGAUAUAACUGACGCUGAGGGACGAAAGCGUGGGGAGCGAAUAGGAUUAGAUACCCUGGUAGUCCACGCCGUAAACGAUGCUAACUCGUUUUUGGGCUUUAGGGUUCAGAGACCAAGCGAAAGUGAUAAGUUAGCCACCUGGGGAGUACGCUCGCAAGAGUGAAACUCAAAGGAAUUGACGGGGGCCCGCACAAGCGGUGGAUUAUGUGGUUUAAUUCGAUGAUACGCGAGGAACCUUACCAAGACUUAAAUGGGAAUUGACAGCUUUAGAAAUAGAGCUUUCUCCGGACAAUUUUCAAGGUGCUGCAUGGUUGUCGUCAGCUCGUGCCGUGAGGUGUUAGGUCAAGUCCUGCAACGAGCGCAACCCCUGUCACUAGUUGCCAUCAUUCAGUUGGGGACUCUAGUGAGACUGCCUACGCAAGUAGAGAGGAAGGUGGGGAUGACGUCAAAUCAUCACGGCCCUUACGUCUUGGGCCACACACGUAAUACAAUGGCCGGUACAGAGGGCAGCUACACAGCGAUGUGAUGCAAAUCUCGAAAGCCGGUCUCAGUUCGGAUUGGAGUCUGCAACUCGACUCUAUGAAGCUGGAAUCGCUAGUAAUCGCGCAUCAGCCAUGGCGCGGUGAAUACGUUCCCGGGCCU